GUAGGGUGCGAGCGUUAAUCGGAAUUACUGGGCGUAAAGCGUGCGCAGGCGGUCCGUUGUGUCCGAUGUGAAAGCCCCGGGCUUAACCUGGGAAUGGCAUGGGAAACUGGCGGGCUGGAGUGUGGCAGAGGGAGGUGGAAUUCCGCGUGUAGCAGUGAAAUGCGUAGAGAUGCGGAGGAACACCGAUGGCGAAGGCAGCCUCCUGGGCCAACACUGACGCUCAGGCACGAAAGCGUGGGGAGCAAACAGGAUUAGAUACCCUGGUAGUCCACGCCCUAAACGAUGUCGACUAGGCGUUGGGGAAGCGAUUCCUUGGUGCCGUAGCUAACGCGUGAAGUCGACCGCCUGGGGAGUACGGCCGCAAGGUUAAA
rnacentral:rRNA from 1 species